UACGGAGGUUGCGAGCGUUGUUCGGAAUUACUGGGCGUAAAGGGAGCGCAGGCGGCCGAGUUAGUCUAAAGUGAAAUCCCGGGGCUCAACCUCGGAAUUGCUUUGGAUACUGCUUGGCUUGAGUACGUGAGAGGUAGGCGGAAUUCCAGGUGUAGCGGUGAAAUGCGUAGAUAUCUGGAGGAACAUCGGUGGCGAAAGCGGCCUACUGGCACGAAACUGACGCUGAGGCUCGAAAGCGUGGGGAGCGAACGGG
rnacentral:rRNA from 1 species